AGCUUUGCCCAAUGGCAGUAUCAUAGCCAAUGAGGUUUAUCUGAGGUGUGAUUAUUGCUAAUUGACACCAAA
rnacentral:snRNA from 1 species